rnacentral:rRNA from 1 species
AUGCAGUCGAGCGGUAACAGGAAGAAAGCUUGCUUUCUUUGCUGACGAGCGGCGGACGGGUGAGUAAUGCCUGGGAAUAUGCCUUAACGUGGGGGAUAACUAUUGGAAACGAUAGCUAAUACCGCAUGAUGCCUACGGGCCAAAGAGGGGGACCUUCGGGCCUCUCGCGUUAAGAUUAGCCCAGGUGGGAUUAGCUAGUUGGUGAGGUAAUGGCUCACCAAGGCGACGAUCCCUAGCUGGUCUGAGAGGAUGAUCAGCCACACUGGAACUGAGACACGGUCCAGACUCCUACGGGAGGCAGCAGUGGGGAAUAUUGCACAAUGGGCGCAAGCCUGAUGCAGCCAUGCCGCGUGUAUGAAGAAGGCCUUCGGGUUGUAAAGUACUUUCAGUCGUGAGGAAGGCAUUUGCGUUAAUAGCGUAAGUGUUUGACGUUAGCGACAGAAGAAGCACCGGCUAACUCCGUGCCAGCAGCCGCGGUAAUACGGAGGGUGCGAGCGUUAAUCGGAAUUACUGGGCGUAAAGCGCAUGCAGGUGGUUCGUUAAGUCAGAUGUGAAAGCCCGGGGCUCAACCUCGGAAUUGCAUUUGAAACUGGCGGACUAGAGUGCUGUAGAGGGGGGUAGAAUUUCAGGU